UAUAUUUUAGUAUGUAUGUACAAGAGUUUUUGAAGCUUUAGGAAAUGAUUGAUUUUAUUAAGUAUAA
rnacentral:tRNA from 1 species